GGGAGUGAAAAAGAACCUGAAACCGUGUACGUACAAGCAGUGGGAGCACAGGUUUACCUGUGUGACUGCGUACCUUUUGUAUAAUGGGUCAGCGACUUAUAUUCUGUAGCAAGGUUAACCGUAUAGGGGAGCCGGAGGGAAACCGAGUCUUAAUUGGGCGUUAAGUUGCAGGGUAUAGACCCGAAACCCGGUGAUCUAGCCAUG
rnacentral:rRNA from 1 species